rnacentral:rRNA from 1 species
UACGAAGGGGGCUAGCGUUGCUCGGAAUCACUGGGCGUAAAGCGCACGUAGGCGGCUUCUUAAGUCAGGGGUGAAAUCCUGGAGCUCAACUCCAGAACUGCCUUUGAUACUGAGGAGCUUGAGUCCGGGAGAGGUGAGUGGAACUGCGAGUGUAGAGGUGAAAUUCGUAGAUAUCGCAAGAACACCAGUGGCGAAGGCGGCUCACUGGCCCGGUACUGACGCUGAGGUGCGAAAGCGUGGGGAGCAAACAGG